GAUGAAGAACGUAGCGAAAUGCGAUAAGUAAUGUGAAUUGCAGAAUUCAGUGAAUCAUCGAGUCUUUGAACGCUCAUUGCGACCCCUGGUAUUCCGGGGGGCAUGCCUGUCCGAGCGUCAUUGCCGCCCUCAAGCACGGCUUGUGUGUUGGGCCCCCGCCCCCCGGCUUCGGGGGGCGGGCCCGAAAGGCAGCGGCGGCACCGCGUCCGGUCCUCGAGCGUAUGGGGCUUCGUCACCCGCUCAGUAGGCCCGGCCGGCGCCCGCCGGCGACCCCAAUCAAUCUUUCCAGGUUGACCUCGGAUCAGGUAGGGAUACCCGCUGAACUUAAGCAUAUCAAUAAGCGGAGGA
rnacentral:misc_RNA from 1 species